CACCAGCUUUUGAUAGUCUGAGCCCGGAUUCAUAAAGCACCUCAGAGUAGGAGUUCUGAUGUAGGAUCAUGUCCCCCCACAAUCUUAUUCAUUAGGUGCUAAAAAGCUAAACUGAUCCUAGAUCAGCACUCCUGAGAAGCUUUAUAAAUAGGGGCCCUGGUCCGCAACAGGUCUAAAAACCCAAAGCCAUAACCCAAUUCAGAACAUGAAACCGUAGAGACGGCUUGCCGACAACGUCAGGAAAACGAUGAGCACGCUUCAACGGGGAAGAAGUCUGUGUGUUGUGACUAUGACAAGAAGCUGCCACGUGGGGAAUUGUCAGUGGCUGGUUUCAGCUAGUUCCUGAUACCGUGGUCUUGUUUUAACUGAUGUCACGUCUAUGCUAAUAUGGCUCAAAUUCGCUAGGUAGCUAACCAGCAACUGUAACGAUGUAUUUAAGAGACAAGUGCUCAUUGUGCACAUUAGGUUUUCAAUAAACAUUGGAGACGAAACAUAGUUUACAUGUCAACAAUCUAAGCCAACAAAGUCUGUUUUGCCCCAUAGUUUCGCACGCGUCAGCUUUGUUGCUAAACAACCAACCCGUCUAUUGAGGUUACAAAACUGUUCAAAGAACCCAGAAUGACAUUUCACAUCACAUUUAAAAAGAGAAGCAAAGCAAGACGCAAAAUGCUAUACCAAUUUCUUUUAGACUUUAUUAUUCCAUUUUAAAUGUAUGCAUCUCAAGUGGACAAUUUACAUACAACCCAUAGGCUCUCCAGGAAUUGUCUACCAAUGGUUGUACUCAGCCACGGUGGGAGCAGAGCAGGGGUACAAAUCGGAAGACACCAUUUAAGCUUCGAGGGGGGGUUGGGGAGGGAGGUAAGAGGUGGAGGGUUUCUGCCAGGUGCCGAACACCGCCACUAUCAUUCAGACAGGCUGCAAACGCCUCCAUCAGAUCCUUACAGUCACCGCCCUCCUUCACACUGCAGAGAGAACACAACCACAUGGUUAGAACCUCUGAGGUGGGGGACCUUGGAUCCUCUCCUCCAAUGCUAGUAACAGUUUGACAGAGAUCUUUGAAGCAUUUAGAUAGGUUGGCAUCGAGCUCAGCACCAAAUGAUCCCUGUCAACUCAACUAAAGUUGUUUUGGCGUCAAGCCGUCAGCCCUGAAGUGUCCUGGUCCUACCCUGUCCCAGUAUGACCUUUUCUAAACAAUGUUGGCAUUCCUCAGAUUGAACCAAGUCAGACUGGUCAUACAGACAGACACUGCCCUCACUAAAAGAGUGAACUGGUUACAUAGGUAGAGAGUGUUGGCAGACUGGUUGAGGGAGAUUAUUUCAGGAGCUCGGCACCAAACAGCGGGCAGACACUGACACAACGCAUUAGGGUGAUGGCGCGAAAGGGAGUGAGGGAAGAGAGGAGGGCGGCGGUGGAGAGAGAGCGAUAGAGAGAGGGAUAAAACCAUCUGUGAGGGAGGGCAGACAUCAGGGAUUGCGUGACGACGCAAAACGGAUGACGAAAAGUAUGGGUAGGAGGGAAAUGGUCAGAGACGGCAGGAGGGGAUGGAUUGACUGACGUGACUGUCUGCAACCCCACACUACCUCACCAUUCUCCAGGGGGCAUUUCCGGGUUCACCCCCCCNNNNNNNNNNNNNNNNNNNNGGGGGGGGGUUGUUUGUGAAUCUGUAGUGUGUGGGGGGAAGUGGUGGGGGGGAAGUGAUGCAGAGGCAGCAGAGAUGACCCAACAGCAGCACAGAGGACCUGGCCCUGAGGCUGUGUGGCCAGAUAAUCCAUCCACCAUAAACACCCACUGCUUUUACCACAGAGAGGAAGCGCUAGAUAUGAUUGGACCAAACCUACUAUGAGAAGCAGGGGGGGGGGAAAGAAAAGCCAAAACAGGCAGCCAUUUUAAUAAUGAAAUGACAUUGAACUGUAAUGGAGGGAGGGAAGGGAAAGAGGGAUGGAUAGAAACACAUUCAUUCUGCCACUUGUGGGUGCCCCACAAAUGUAGCCCGGGGCCUCGUCAACCAACCAAACCAAUUAGGCUUUGUUAUGUAAUGCUGCCUGAACAGAACAGAACUCCCCUGUCUGUCUGUCUUCAGCUCCACACAAAUGAAUGGAGGAAUCCUUUGUGAAUGAACCAAGGGGAUAACUGUACUGGUUUGAAUAUACUGUACAUAAAAAAAUAUUAGUUUCAAGUUAACAU
rnacentral:lncRNA from 8 species